AUUGAACGCUGGCGGCAGGCCUAACACAUGCAAGUCGAGCGGUAGCACAGAGAGCUUGCUCUCGGGUGACGAGCGGCGGACGGGUGAGUAAUGUCUGGGAAACUGCCCGAUGGAGGGGGAUAACUACUGGAAACGGUAGCUAAUACCGCAUAACGUCGCAAGACCAAAGAGGGGGACCUUCGGGCCUCUUGCCAUCGGAUGUGCCCAGAUGGGAUUAGCUAGUAGGUGGGGUAACGGCGCACCUAGGCGACGAUCCCUAGCUGGUCUGAGAGGAUGACCAGCCACACUGGAACUGGGAAACGGGCCAGACUCCUACGGGAGGCAGCAGGGGGGAAUAUUGCACAAUGGGCGCAAGCCCGAUGCAGCCAUGCCGCGUGUAUGAAGAAGGCCUUCGGGUUGUAAAGUACUUUCAGCGGGGAGGAAGGUGUUGAGGUUAAUAACCUCAGCAAUUGACGUUACCCGCAGAAGAAGCACCGGCUAACUCCGUGCCAGCAGCCGCCGUAA
rnacentral:rRNA from 1 species